rnacentral:rRNA from 1 species
UACGUAGGGUCCGAGCGUUGUCCGGAGUUACUGGGCGUAAAGCGCGCGCAGGCGGCGGUAUAAGCAUGGCGUGAAAGCCCCAGGCUUAACCUGGGAGGGUCGUCGUGGACUGUACCGCUUGAGGGCGGUAGGGGCUGGUGGAAUGCCUGGUGUAGUGGUGAAAUGCGUAGAGAUCAGGCGGAACACCCGUGGCGAGGGCGGCCAGCUGGGCCGUCCCUGACGCUGAGGCGCGAAAGCCAGGGGAGCAAACGGG